CCGAGUCACGUGCUCAAACAACCCUUCUGUGGACCUGAAUUAAACCGUUGCCUCGGCGGGCGGUCCCCUGUACAAAAAAAAACCCACGUGGUUGUAGGCAGGGGACCAGACAGUCCGGCACGCUUAAGGCGUCCGGCGCCAGCCGCUGGCCCUAAACAAUUAAACUCUAGUAACCUUACCUUCUGAGUUUUAAUACAAAAAAUAAGUCA
rnacentral:misc_RNA from 1 species